rnacentral:rRNA from 1 species
GAUGAACGCUGGCGGCGUGCCUAAUACAUGCAAGUCGAGCGAAUGGAUUAAGAGCUUGCUCUUAUGAAGUUAGCGGCGGACGGGUGAGUAACACGUGGGUAACCUGCCCAUAAGACUGGGAUAACUCCGGGAAACCGGGGCUAAUACCGGAUAACAUUUUGAACCGCAUGGUUCGAAAUUGAAAGGCGGCUUCGGCUGUCACUUAUGGAUGGACCCGCGUCGCAUUAGCUAGUUGGUGAGGUAAAGGCUCACCAAGGCAACGAUGCGUAGCCGACCUGAGAGGGUGAUCGGCCACACUGGGACUGAGGCACGGCCCAGACUCCUACGGGAGGCAGCAGUAGGGAAUCUUCCGCAAUGGACGAAAGUCUGACGGAGCAACGCCGCGUGAGUGAUGAAGGCUUUCGGGUCGUGAAACUCUGUUGUUAGGGAAGAACAAGUGCUAGUUGAAUAAGCUGGCACCUUGACGGUACCUAACCAGAAAGCCACGGCUAACUACGUGCCAGCAGCCGCCGUAA